rnacentral:rRNA from 1 species
UAUGCUUUUCCUAAAGCUUAAGCCAUGCAUGUCUUCGACUAAGAGGAAGCGAUUCUCUCUGAAUCUGCGAACGGCUCCGCAAACCAGUUGUAAACCGAGGCAGGGUUCCCUUCCCGCGGUUCCGCUUCGGUGGGACUGCGGGUUAAUAUAUGGAUAACCGUGGUAAUUCUGAGGCUAAUACAUGACGUACAAAACCUCGCUCCGGGCUUGCCCGGGGCGGGGGGGCGUGCGACUUAAGGCUGGGGUAACAUCCAUGACAGAACGCACGCUCGGACCACCGUUAAGGGUGAAGGGCCUCGGCUCGGAUCCUGGUGGCCCCCGCAAUGUGCUUCUGACCUAUCAACUAGGCGGCAGCAUAAGGGACAUGCUAUGGUGACAACGGGUACAGAGGAUUAGGGUUCGAUCCUGGAGAGCGGGCCUGAGAGAUUGCUCAUACUUCUAAGGAAGGCAGCAGGCGCGCAACGUUCCCCAUGGGCAUCGCUCGAGGGCGUUAUGGGAAAUAUGAAUGGCUGCCUUUACGGUGGCCAAUUCAAAUGGGUCUGUUGUAAAUAGGCUCUCGAGUAACAAUUAGAGGA